rnacentral:misc_RNA from 1 species
GAAAGGUUCUUAGUUUGCAUCCAAUUGUAAAGGAAAUCUUCGUCCCCAAGCAAAUUACAGCUGCGACAGUUUUAAAGAAGAAAUUAAGAAAUUUCUCCCUAAAAUUGAUCGUCUUUCCUCUUGCUCUAAACACUACUCCGAAGACACUCUCAAUUUUUCCUCUCUCUGCUCUCCAACUUCAAUGGCGAAACUAAAGAUAGCAGGGACAUGGGUAGGUGUUCUGGAGGUAGAAUUGCAGAAUUGGACGGUUUCCAUGCUCAGACAGGAAGUUGCAAAGCGAUCAA